UUAGGAAAAGGCGUCAAUGGGGGAAACCCUGAACGAGCAAUGCCGCGUGAAGGAUGAAGGUCCUAUGGAUUGUAAACUUCUGUUGUUAGGGAAGAACGACUCAUAUAGGAAAUGAUAUGGGAGUGACUGUACCUUUCAAGAAAGCUCCGGCUAACUACGU
rnacentral:rRNA from 1 species